UACGUAGGAGGCAAGCGUUGUCCGGAAUUACUGGGCGUAAAGCGCGUGUAGGUGGUGGGACAAGUCUGCUGUGAAAGCGCCUGGCUUAACCGGGCGAGGUCGGCGGAAACUGUCCGACUAGAGGACGGUAGAGGGGGGGUGGAAUUCCCGGUGUAGUGGUGAAAUGCGUAGAGAUCGGGAGGAACACCUGUGGCGAAGGCGGCCCCCCUGGGCCGGCCCUGACACUGAGACGCGAAGGCGUGGGGGAGCGAACGGGG
rnacentral:rRNA from 1 species